GCCCAUAAGACUGGGAUAACUUCUGGAAACCGGGGCUAAUACCGGAUAACAUUUUGAACCGCAUGGUUCGAAAUUGAAACGCGGCUUCGGCUGUCACUUAUGGAUGGACCCGCGUCGCAUUAGCUAGUUGGUGAGGUAACGGCUCACCAAGGCAACGAUGCGUAGCCGACCUGAGAGGGUGAUCGGCCACACUGGGACUGAGACACGGCCCAGACUCCUACGGGAGGCAGCAGUAGGGAAUCUUCCGCAAUGGACGAAAGUCUGACGGAGCAACGCCGCGUGAGUGAUGAAGGCUUUCGGGUCGUAAAACUCUGUUGUUAGGGAAGAACAAGUGCUAGUUGAAUAAGCUGGCACCUUGAACGGUACCUAACCCAGAAAGCCACGGGCUUAACUACGUGCCAGCAGCCGCGGUAAUACGUAGGUGGCAAGCGUUAUCCGGAAUUAUUGGGCGUAAAGCGCGCGCAGGUGGUUUCUUAAGUCUGAUGUGAAAGCCCACGGCUCAACCGUGGAGGGUCAUUGGAAAACUGGGAGACUUGAGUGCAGAAGAGGAAAGUGGAAUUCCAUGUUGUAGCGGUGAAAUGCCUUAAAAGAUAUGGGAGGAACACCGGUGGGCGAAGGCGACUUUCUGGUCUGUAACUGACACUGGAGGCGCGAAAAG
rnacentral:rRNA from 1 species